rnacentral:lncRNA from 14 species
GAACACUCCAGAAGCAGUUGUGCUUCUGCAAUCAAGACAGCAGACAGAAUGGAGACAGGAAAAGAUGAUGCAUGAGCUGAAGUGAACAACUCAGGUGAGAAAGCUGUGAGAAAACACCCAAGUGAGACUGUCCACCAUUAAGACUUAAGCCUUUAUGUGUUGGGUAGACAAGGUGACCCAAGAUGCUGAGGAAGAGGAGAAGAAUGUCAAUCAAAUACCAGUUCCUCCUGCUAUUGGCAAAGAAACAUUGCAGAAUCUGAUUUAUGUAACCCUCAGGAAUUUGCCAGGGGAUUCUUCUACACAUUUUGUACCUGGUUUGUAUUUGGCUUGCUGGCAAAACCACAGUCACAUAGUCUCUUUUUUGCAACCCAGUUCAG